CGUCUUCUGAGCCUAAGCAUAGAAGAUAAUGCCUGCCCAGUGAAACAUUUAAACGGCCGCGUUAGCGUGAGCGUGCUAAGGUAGCGUAAUAAAUAGCCUCUUAAUUGGAGGCCAGUGAAUGGCAAGACUAGGAACACCUUUACCUUUUAUACCAAAAAAACUUUUCAUCUAAGUGAAAAGACUUAGAUAAUACAGGAAGACGAAAAGACCCCGCGGAACUUUACUUUUUAUUACACCUACACCCAAAAGUUCAAAGUAUCAAAAGUUUGAUUGGGGCAAUCUCGGAACCAACAAACUUCCGAUCACAAUAAUAAAAUAUCAAAAAUCUGGUAUGGACAAAACAGAAGUUACCCCGGGGAUAACAGCGUUAUCCAACUUAAGAGUACACAUCGAAAGUUGGGUUUGCGACCUCGAUGUUGGCUUAAGGACAUCCACAUUAGUGCAACCGCUAUGGAAGGAUAGUCUGUUCGACUAUUAUACCCUUACAUGAGCUGA
rnacentral:rRNA from 1 species